UGGGGAGACAGGAGCUAGGAGAACAUGAAGACCAAAAGGACUGUUGUGGGAUAUUUUCCUAUCCUUCUUACCCUUACCAUAAAACAAGAUCUGUUAACCAAGCUUGGAAGGAGCAUGCAGUUCAAAGGUCAAAUGUAUGAAAGCAAAGCCUGCUUGAUAUACCAAGAGCUCUUUGUAAAUUUGAUUCUAACUGAGAAGCUAUAGAGCUGUGAAGGGGUGAAGGGCAGAGGAGAUAGUGCAGCACCCGCUGAAACGCUUCCAUUUUGUUUUCUGAGCUACUGCCACAAGGAAAGACUGCCUUCUGUGCUGAUGACAGAUCUGCCCUUCUGUUAUCAGACACUGCUCUUUUGCUAUCUCAGUUUCAUAACAAUUACCUCUGCCUGAGAGCUAUGGAUCAGCCACAUUGGGCAAAGCAGUCCUCUGAGAAAGAGAAUGAUGGAUGACAGAGUGAUUCCCUUCAACAUGACUGGGGCACUGAGGCUCCUGCUCAGCUCUGGAUAUGCUAGAGAACCCCCAUUGCUCCUUUUCACUGUAACUCCAGCUGCUGCACUGGAGCUAACAAAACUAUUCAAAGAAAAGCAUUCCAAGGAACCAUCUGAGAAGGUUCUUCAGCAUUGCUGAUGGGCCCUUUAUCCAAGGUGAGAAUGACUUGAUUCAGCUCCACUGAAGCAUGCACAGUUGUAAAGAAAAACCUGUGGUUUGACAUCUUGUGUAUUCUGCCUGUAGUAAGGUGCUUAGGAUGGAACAUCUACCCCAGAUAUAACAAGUCUUUGAAAUGAGACUUCUUGUACCAAGGCUUUGUAUGCAUCUACGAUUGUAGUAUCUACCACUGACUGGCUGAGCCUAUGUAGCUUUCAGACUGUAUCAAGGGGAUGUAAUCGGAAUUAUGCUUUUGUCUCCCAGACCUCCUUAGCAGAUAUCUGAGGGAAAUAAGCACUUCCACAUGCUGUUUUGGAUCUCACAUAGGCUAUCAGGGGGGCAUGUAGUUCUUGCAUCCCAGCCCUGAGCCUUGUAUAAGUAUAUGCAGUGACUUUUUAAUGCUAGUAUGGCUUUAAGAUGAAUAAACAAAUUGUGCUCUCUUCCUAUCUUCGCACUGCAAAAAGUAAGGGGAAGAAUCUCUCACACCCUUUGGUAGGUUGUCAGUGCCAAAGAAAAGACACCAGUAGAUAUUCCAUUCAAAUGUCCAGUUUUUCUUUCCAAUUGUUGCUCUGGAUCCCUUUUUAUUUUUCCCCUCUUCUACUACUUGAACAAUGGCCUCUUCUUAGGAAACAAGUUUUCAGCUUUACAAUGGUCUUGACUUCUCAUUGUUUGAAAGUCAAGAGGGUCACUCAAAGUAAACUAUGUUGUGCUAGGUAAUGUUUUUCCACGUGGAAAUGUUGCAGGGCC
rnacentral:lncRNA from 1 species